UUAUCCGGAAUUAUUGGGCGUAAAGAGCGCGCAGGUGGUUAAUUAAGUCUGAUGUGAAAGCCCACGGCUUAACCGGAGUAGUGCAUUGGAAACUGGGAGACUUGAGUGCAGAAGAGGAGAGUGGAACUCCAUGUGUAGCGGUGAAAUGCGUAGAUAUAUGGAGGAACACCAGUGGCGAAGGCGGCUUCCUGGUCUGCAACUGACACUGAGGCGCGAAAGCGUGGGGAGCA
rnacentral:rRNA from 1 species